GACGAACGCUGGCGGCAUGCCUAAUACAUGCAAGUCGAACGCUGAAGCACUCUGCUUGCAGAGUGCGGAUGAGUGGCGAACGGGUGAGUAACACGUGGGAACUCUGCCUAUAAGAGGGGGAUAACAUUCGGAAACGGAUGCUAAUACCGCAUAUAUUCUUGGACCGCCUGGUCCUUGAAAGAAAGACGGCUUUGCUGUCGCUUAUAGAUGAUCCCGCGGCGUAUUAGUUAGUUGGUGGGGUAAAGGCCUACCAAGACAAUGAUACGUAGCCGACCUGAGAGGGUGAUCGGCCACACUGGGACUGAGACACGGCCCAGACUCCUACGGGAGGCAGCAGUAGGGAAUCUUCCACAAUGGGCGAAAGCCUGAUGGAGCAAUGCCGCGUGAAUGAAGAAGGUCUUCGGAUCGUAAAGUUCUGUUAUUAGAGAAGAACAAGUCAAGGAGUAACUGUCUUGACUUUGACGGUACCUAACCAGAAAGUCACGGCUAACUACGUG
rnacentral:rRNA from 1 species